rnacentral:rRNA from 1 species
GACGAACGCUGGCGGCGUGCCUAAUACAUGCAAGUAGGACGCACAGUUUAUACCGUAGCUUGCUACACCAUAGACUGUGAGUUGCGAACGGGUGAGUAACGUGUAGGUAACCUGCCUAUUAGAGGGGGAUAACUAUUGGAAACGAUAGCUAAUACCGCAUAACAGUAUGUAACACAUGUUAGAUGCUUGAAAGAUGCAAUUGCAUCGCUAGUAGAUGGACCUGCGUUGUAUUAGCUAGUAGGUAGGGUAAUGGCCUACCUAGGCGACGAUACAUAGCCGACCUGAGAGGGUGAUCGGCCACACUGGGACUGAGACACGGCCCAGACUCCUACGGGAGGCAGCAGUAGGGAAUCUUCGGCAAUGGGGGGAACCCUGACCGAGCAACGCCGCGUGAGUGAAGAAGGUUUUCGGAUCGUAAAGCUCUGUUGUU